rnacentral:rRNA from 1 species
UACGUAGGGGGCAAGCGUUGUCCGGAAUCAUUGGGCGUAAAGAGCGUGUAGGCGGCCUGGUAAGCCCGCUGUGAAAGUCCAGGGCUCAACCCUGGAAUGCCGGUGGAAACUGUCAGGCUCGAGUCCGGAAGAGGCGAGUGGAAUUCCUGGUGUAGCGGUGAAAUGCGCAGAUAUCAGGAGGAACACCAAUGGCGAAGGCAGCUCGCUGGGACGGUACUGACGCUGAGACGCGAAAGCGUGGGGAGCAAACAGG